rnacentral:lncRNA from 1 species
ACUGGCCUCGCCGCCGAAAAUCCUCGUCGGAAAAAUAGGGCACCUGUCCAAGAAAACAGAACACACCCACACACACACCUACAAAAAGCAGAAGAGAGAAUAGGAGGAAAAGAGCAGGAGUCGCCGGAAAAAUCGCCGGCGAAAAGCAAGAAUUCAAAGGGAAAUGUUGGACUCUCCAGUAAAGAAAGAACAGUUAAGAAAUGCUAAAGAUUGAAUCUAUUGAGCCUGCAGAAAUGUUGGACUCUCCAGUAAAGAAAGAACAGUUAAGAAAUGCUAAAGAUUGAAUCUUGAACUAAAAGAACCAAAAACAUGUUAAAGCUCAAAACUGAAAAAUGUCUAAAAUCUAAAACUUUGAAAGAGAACCCAAGUUGUAGUUUUUAGUGAAAAAGCUAAACACUGAAUCUUGAACUAAAAGAACUACAAAAAAUCACACAUUAUAGCUCAAGACUGAAAAACGGAUAAAAUCUAAAACUCUAUAAGACAAACCCAAGUUGAAAUUUUGAGUGAAAAAAGUUGAUAAGCCAGAUCUAAGAUUACACUAUCAAAUUGUACCUACUAAAAUUCUGUCAGAUCUAAGAAUGAGGCUUCAAGGCUUUUCGUCACCAGAGACAAACGAAAAUCUGGCAAGAUCUAAGAGUACAUUCAUUUGAAAAUCUGACCAGAUCUGACAGACCUUCACCAUAGCCAACAUUAGCCAGUAUAUAAUCGUUUGCCGGAGCAGACGGAGUUUGAUGGCGGAGUAGCAGCGACGGACGAGACCGGUGGAGCAGCAAUGAUGGAGCAGCAGAAAGUGAAAGCCUAAGACGAAAAUAGAUACAAAGCUAGGUAGAGAGAGGUACAACAACCAAGAAACGGUGGCUAAUCACUGUAGUGAAAUGUUGACAAUCAAAAUUUCAGGUUUCAUCAUCAUAAUACCAGAUAACGACACAAAAAAGAUAAAAAAAGAAAACGACACAACAAGUUAUACAGGUCGGAGUACUGGGACGGGUUGAUGCGGGUCAGGGUAGCGGGAGUUGAAAACUGACAGAGUUAGUAUGUGGGGUGGGGCAAGGCGGCACGGGAUGGAGCAUGUAACAAGUUUUGCUGGUUAAGCUUCAACGCGUUCCACACCGUCUUACUGCU